GUGAAGAUGGACAGUGUGUGAAUUAUAAGAGCUCUGUUUCUAAAGUGAUUCAACUAUACUUGCACAGAAUUCCAAAAGCUCUACUGUUUAUUACUCUUCAUUACUAAUACAGCCUUUGAUUGUAAGCAGGCUGUCCUUUGUGAAUAACAAUCACAGAUACAGACAUCUUCAGACAGUUCAAGUCGUGUGCUUCAAUCAAACUCUAGUCGGAAAAGAACUUUCAGAGCAAGGCUGCUUCCACAGUACUGACAAAAUCUGCUAUAUAUCACAUAACAUUGCAUGGUGCACUCACUCAAACUUUAUGUUUCCCUGUUUUAUAAAUUCUUAAGAGCACUGCAUGGCUCACAAAAAUCUAAUACUGGCACUCUCUAUGUUGGCGAUUACUGAAUGGAAAUAUGCAUAUUUAGCUUGAAAGAAAGAAGGGUAAUAUUUUCCUUGCAAUUUAUUCACCAUUUCCUUUAUAUAACCUGAAAUCAUGAGCUUUGUGACACAUUGGAAAAGAAAUACUUUAUUAUAGAAAAUAUAACUAGAUAGUAAUGAGUUUUAAAGCAGAGUAUUGACCAUGUAUAAUGGUUCUCACAGAUAUGAAAUGAAAAAAUCCGAAAAAUAAAAGUAAAUCUCUUAAAAAUACUAAA
rnacentral:lncRNA from 1 species